GAUGAACGCUGGCGGCGUGCCUAAUACAUGCAAGUCGAGCGAACGGACGAGAAGCUUGCUUCUCUGAUGUUAGCGGCGGACGGGUGAGUAACACGUGGAUAACCUACCUAUAAGACUGGGAUAACUUCGGGAAACCGGAGCUAAUACCGGAUAAUAUUUUGAACCGCAUGGUUCAAAAGUGAAAGACGGUCUUGCUGUCACUUAUAGAUGGAUCCGCGCUGCAUUAGCUAGUUGGUAAGGUAACGGCUUACCAGGGCAACGAUGCAUAGCCGACCUGAGAGGGUGAUCGGCCACACUGGAACUGAGACACGGGCCAGACUCCUACGGGAGGCAGCAGUAGGGAAUCUUCCGCAAUGGGCGAAAGCCUGACGGAGCAACGCCGCGUGAGUGAUGAAGGUCUUCGGAUCGUAAAACUCUGUUAUUAGGGAAGAACAUAUGUGUAAGUAACUGUGCACAUCUUGACGGUACCUAAUCAGAAAGCCACGGCUAACUACGUG
rnacentral:rRNA from 1 species